ensembl:lncRNA
GGGGAUUGAAAAGACAAGGCAGUCCAGGGAGGUGCUGCCCAUCCAAGGUUGAGGGGCCUGGGGGCUCCGGGUCGUAAAGGAGCUGGGGUGAAGGCUGACUGCACAGGCUCCUUAUACAUCCAUUCCUGAGGGCACGGAGGUUAACACUCAUGGGAGAGGCUGACUUGUGGGUCACACGAAAAAGGGAGAUAAUCACACCAUUAAGUAAAUGUUGAAUCCCCUUCUCCACUUCCUGUUCCUGCCAGAGAGGGCCCAGGGGUCUUCCACUGCUCGCACUGCCCACCUGCUUCCAUAUCGGCCCCCAACACCCCCACCCUCCCUCCCCCUGCGCUAACUUAGGGCUGACCUUCUCUAGAGAGCCACUCCACAGAAGCAUUUGUCCUACUAGCCUGCCCUCUUUUCUCUCCAUCAGCAGCAGAGCUUGGACUUUUCAAAUCACCUUUAGGAUAGAAAGCCAAUGAGACAUGUAUCUAAAGGCCCCUAAUGACCCAUACUUGCGACUUGGCUUUGAUGCGCUUGAGAGGCUCUCUGUUGGCCUUUUCUGUUGGCAGAGACAACUGCUAGAUUAAGAUGGAUGUAACCUUGGACGUGGCAAAACUCAGACCUUAGCUACUGGAGGAGAACAAGGCAGCCAAUUUUUUUUUUUUUUAAACCGGGGAGGCAGGAAUGAGAAGGUGGGAGAACUUGGGGAGGAGGCGGGUCAAGAACAGAGCAUGCAGAGGCACCCCUCAGCCACCUGUCAGGACCGCGAAGGCACGUGCCUGCCCUUCAGGCUUCACCCGACACGUAGGGGUUUGUGUACGCAGGUCACUCCCAGCAAGCGAGGACCCUAUGAACCGUGUGGUCUUCUGGACGCAAAAUGCUUACUUUCCAUUGUGUAAUUGUCCUUGUUUUCCUCUGGCUCACAGACUUACCAGAGUGAAGUCCCAAACUGACUUUUCCUCCAGGUCUUGAUAAAUUGUUGCAGAAAAGAAGUGCUGGCAGAGAUUUUCUACACCCAUGUAUCUGAGUCUAGUUAUUUUCUCUCAAGGCCUAUUCUAUCCUUCAGCCCAGCUCCCUCUGGCUUCUAGUUCUCCUCAGCCAAGAUUCAUUGUACUGCUAUUAAAUGUUACACUAUGUAACAAUGCCAAGUCCCACCUCUCUCCUAACCCCACUUAAGCUUUUUUUUCCCAAUGGACUUCUGCCUUUUUUCCCAAUGGACUUCUGCCUUUUUGUAUCUUCCACAGGAUCCAAC